rnacentral:tRNA from 1 species
GCCGGUGUAGUUCAAUUGGUAGAGCAGCUGAUUUGUAAUCAGCAGGUUGUGUGUUCGAGUCACGUCAUCGGCGCCA